rnacentral:rRNA from 1 species
CCUACGGGUGGCAGCAGUCGAGAAUCAUGCACAAUGGGGGAAAGCCUGAUGGAGCGACGCAGCGUGGGGGAAUGAAGGCCUUCGGAUUGUAAACCCCUGUCAUGUGGGAGCAAAUUAAAAAGAUAGUACCACAAGAGGAAGAGACGGCGAACUCUGGGCCAGCAGCUGCGGGAAUACAGAGGUCUCAAGCGGUGUUCGGAGUCACUGGGCGUAAAGUGUGCGGAGGCUGGUUCGUAAGUCUUGUGUGAAAGGCGCGGGCUCAACCCGCGGACGGCACAUGAUACUGGGAGACUAGAGUAAUGGAGGGGGAACCGGAAUUCUCGGUGUAGCAGUGAAAUGCGUAGAUAUCGCGAGGAACACUCGUGGCGAAGGCGGGUUCCUGGACAUUAACUGACGCUGAGGCACGAAGGCCAGGGGAGCGAAAGGGAUUAGAUACCCCGGUAGUC